AAGUUCUCAUAUAGAAAUACAAUUGUACGUCAACAAAAGAUCCACAAAUACGUUUUCACAAUAUUUAUUUUGGCAUUAUGGCAAUACACACUUCCCCAACAACAUACCAGUGCUCUUGCAAAAAAAAAACUGUGCCGCUCUCGCUGGUUCUGCACUACCAAUCAGGUCAUGUCUGACCACCAUGUUUUUCCAAUAGGUCUUUUAAGGAAAAUUACCAGUUUCGGGUGGAGUUAUUUAAAAAAAAUACAGUAAAAUACCGUCAAACUCUAGAUAUAGUAAGUGUAAUAGCUGGUAUACCAGAGGGUAUUUAGCAUUAGAAGAGACGUGUUGAUUUUGACCAGAUAAAUUGCUGUUAAUGUGCCAUGGCAGAUCACGCGUUUUUUCAAUGGGUCGUAAUAGGGGGAAAAAAAGUAUUUCAGAGGGCAUUAUAUUAGAAAAUUUACCGCAAAAUACCUUCAAACUCUGGAUAUAACAAAUGUAAUCGUUGCUGUAUCCGAUGGUAUUGAGCUUCAGAACAGAUGAUUUGACACUGACAAGAUAAAUUGCUGUGAAUACGGCAGAAUAUGCAUUAUGUCUAUUUAAGUAACUGAAGAGCUGGAGGGAGGGGGCGAGACCUACAGUGGAGGGAGAGUGGGGCGCUGCCCCCUCUUGCCCCCCUGCAGAUACACCCCUAAUUGUAUAUACGUAGGCGAGAGCAAGCAUAGCGGUGAAGGGCAGCCAUCCGUAGUGGUUUCCACGGAGCUGGGAGUUGAGGCACGGAUACAUGACUAUUCUGCUGAAGCUGGUGGCAAACUGGCGACCGUCUAAUCACAGGCACAGAGGCCUAGCCAAGAGCCCACUGUCAAAAAGGAUACGAUGGAUACUGCUACAGAAGAACCAUUUCUGCUUAUUGUUUCAAGUUUUAAGUUAAAUUAAAUUCGUAUACUACAAUGGCAAGGAAAGUGAUUGAUGCAUGGGGGACAAGGCAAUA